AACGAACGCUGACGGCAUGCCUAACACAUGCAAGUCGAACGAGACCUUCGGGUCUAGUGGCGCACGGGUGCGUAACGCGUGGGAACCUGCCCUUAGGUUCGGAAUAACUCCCCGAAAGGGGUGCUAAUACCGGAUAAUGUCUUCGGACCAAAGAUUUAUCGCCUUUGGAUGGGCCCGCGUUGGAUUAGCUAGUUGGUAGGGUAAAAGCCUACCAAGGCGACGAUCCAUAGCUGGUCUGAGAGGAUGAUCAGCCACACUGGGACUGAGACACGGCCCAGACUCCUACGGGAGGCAGCAGUGGGGAAUAUUGGACAAUGGGCGAAAGCCUGAUCCAGCAAUGCCGCGUGAGUGAUGAAGGCCUUAGGGUUGUAAGGCUCUUUUACCCGGGAUGAUAAUGACAGUACCGGGAGAAUAAGCUCCGGCUAACUCCGUG
rnacentral:rRNA from 1 species